rnacentral:piRNA from 1 species
UCAUCAAGGGUGAAAGACGCUGAAGUCGA